GACGAACGCUGGCGGCGUGCUUAACACAUGCAAGUCGAACGGAAAGGCCCUGCUUUUGUGGGGUGCUCGAGUGGCGAACGGGUGAGUAACACGUGAGUAACCUGCCCUUGACUUUGGGAUAACUUCAGGAAACUGGGGCUAAUACCGGAUAGGAGCUCCUGCCGCAUGGUGGGGGUUGGAAAGUUUCGGCGGUUGGGGAUGGACUCGCGGCUUAUCAGCUUGUUGGUGGGGUAGUGGCUUACCCAGGCUUGGACGGGUAGCCGGCCUGGGAGGGUGACCGGCCACAUUGGGACUGGGAUGCGGCCCAGACGCCUACGGGAGGCAGCAGUGGGAAUAUUGCACAAUGGGCGGAAGCCUGAUGCAGCAACGCCGCGUGCGGGAUGACGGCCUUCGGGUUGUAAACCGCUUUCGCCUGUGACGAAGCGUGAGUGACGGUAAUGGGUAAAGAAGCACCGGCUAACUACGUG
rnacentral:rRNA from 1 species